rnacentral:rRNA from 1 species
GAUAGAGUCGGGCGGGCUGACGCGGGAGUACGUGGGGUGCGAGCUGUGUCCGGAUGGAUUUGGCGUAAAGAGCGUGUAGGCGGCCUGGAAGGUCAGCUGUGAAAACUCGAGGCUCAACCUCGGGACUGCGGUUGAAACCACCUGGCUAGAGUCCGGAAGAGGAGAGUGGAAUUCCCGGUGUAGCGGGGAAAUGCGCAGAUAUCGGGAAGAACACCCGUGGCGAAGGCGGCUCUCUGGGACGGUACUGACGCUGAGACGCGAAAGCGUGGGGAGCGAACAGGAUUAGAUACCCGUGUAGUC